UACAGAGGGUGCUAGCGUUGUUCGGAAUCAUUGGGCGUAAAGGGCGUGUAGGCGGUUUGUUAAGUCAUGUGUGAAAUCCCUCGGCUCAACCGGGGAACGACGCAUGAAACUGGCAAGCUAGAGUACCAAAGAGGGGGGUGGAAUUCCCGGUGUAGAGGUGAAAUUCGUAGAUAUUCGGAAGAACACCAGUGGCGAAGGCGGCUCACUGGUCCGGUACUGACGCUGAGGUGCGAAAGCGUGGGGAGCAAACAGG
rnacentral:rRNA from 1 species